GCCGAAAUAGCUCAGUUGGUAGAGCACAACAUGGACAAGGUUGGGGUCGCGGGUUCGAGUCCUCGUUUUCGGCU
rnacentral:tRNA from 1 species